rnacentral:rRNA from 1 species
UAGGGAAUCUUCGGCAAUGGACGAAAGUCUGACCGAGCAACGCCGCGUGAGUGAAGAAGGUUUUCGGAUCGUAAAACUCUGUUGUUCGAGAAGAACAAGGACGUUAGUAACUGAACGUCCCCUGACGGUAUCUAACCAGAAAGCCACGGCUAACUACGUGCCAGCAGCCGCGGUAAUACGCAGGUGGCAAGUGUUGUCCGGAUUUAUUGGGCGUAAAGCGAGCGCAGGCGGUUUCUUACGUCUGAGGUGAAAGCCCCCGGCUCAACCGGGGAGGAGCAUUGGGAACUGGGAGACUUGAAUGCAGAAGAGGGGAGUGGAAUUCCAUGUGUAGCAGUGAAAUGCGUAGAUAUAUGGAGAAACACCAGUGGCGAAGGCGGCUCUCUGUUAUGUAACUGACGCUGAGGCUCGAAAGCGUGGGGAGCAAACAGG